rnacentral:tRNA from 1 species
UCCUUGGUGGUCCAGCGGUUAGGACUUGGUGCUUUCACUGCUGUGGACAAGGUUCAAUCCUUGGUCGGGGAG